rnacentral:rRNA from 1 species
UACGAAGGGGGCUAGCGUUGCUCGGAAUUACUGGGCGUAAAGGGCGCGUAGGCGGACAGUUAAGUCAGAGGUGAAAGCCCAGGGCUCAACCCCGGAAUAGCCGUUGAUACUGGCUGUCUUGAGUGCGGGAGAGGUGUGUGGAACUCCGAGUGUAGAGGUGAAAUUCGUAGAUAUUCGGAAGAACACCAGUGGCGAAGGCGACACACUGGCCCGUAACUGACGCUGAGGCGCGAAAGCGUGGGGAGCGAACAGG